rnacentral:rRNA from 1 species
AUUGAACGCUGGCGGCAGGCCUAACACAUGCAAGUCGAGCGGAUGAAGGGAGCUUGCUCCUGGAUUCAGCGGCGGACGGGUGAGUAAUGCCUAGGAAUCUGCCUGGUAGUGGGGGAUAACGUCCGGAAACGGGCGCUAAUACCGCAUAAGUGCUGAGGGAGAAAGUGGGGGAUCUUUGGACCUCACGCUCUCAGAUGAGCGUAGGUCGGAUUAGCUAGUUGGUGGGGUAAAGGCCUACCAAGGCGACGAUCCGUAACUGGUCUGUGAGGAGGAUCAGUCACACUAGAACUGAAACACGCACCAUGCUCCUACGGGAGGGACCAGUGGGGAAUAUUAGACAGUGGGCGAAAGCCUGGUCCAACCAUGGCACGUGUGAUGAAGAGGUCUUCGGAGUGUAAAGCACUUUAAGGUGGUAGAAAGGGCAGUAAGUUAAGACCUAGCUGGUUUGACGGUACCGACAGAGUAAGCACCGGCUAACUUCGUG